UUUCCACAGAGCUUCUCUGCGACUAUGAAAUGAAAGUAGUAGGAAAUGGCAACUAGUACAGAGCUCAAUUUGUGAACUUGUUUUCGUCUCUCUGUUUUCUGGUUGGAAUCUUCGAACAAUUAAGCUGAUGCAAACUUUAACGCUUUUCUCGCCCCAGAUCAAUCUUCUUCCACAAUUUUCUUUAUUCUCUAAUCAACCAUUGCAAUCUUCAAACUUCCAGAGCAAUUCAAAUGUGAAAAGAAUCCACAGCUACUGUAAAAACCAUACUAAAAUUUCUAGCUUUUCUUCCAAAAACAAAACUUUCGAAUGCAGAUUCAAGAAACUAACAAAUACACACAGCUUCCAAGAAAAAACAGAUGCCGAUUUCACAGAUACUCCUUCGGUGAGCCAGUGUGCGUACUCUGAUUCGCUUGCAGUCUGGCUUCAGUCCUGUUAUAGCCUGAAGGAGGUUAAAAGAACACAUGCAAUCGCAGUUAAGUUGUUUAUGACCCCAACGAUUUAUGUUGGGAAUAACUUGAUCAGCGCUUAUACGAGAUUGGGGAAUUUUAUUGAUGGUCGAAAGGUGUUUGAUGAAAUGCCGGAAAGAAAUGUUGUUACCUGGACUGCAAUUGUAAAUGCUUAUAUGAAAUUUGGGUUUUAUGAUGAAGCUUUGAGGCUUUUGGGUCGUUCCUUAGAGGAUUCUGUUCGACCUAAUGAGAAGAUGUUUGUGUGUGUUUUAAACCUGUGCAGUAGGAGGUUAGAUUUUGCUCUUGGCAGGCAGAUUCAUGCUUGUAUAGUAAAGAGGAAUCUGAAGAACUUGUUUGUAGAUAGUGCUAUUGUUUAUUUCUAUGCGCAAUGUGGUGAAUUAUCAAGUGCCUUUUGCUCAUUUAAUAGGAUGCCAGAACGUGAUGUGGUUUGCUGGACAACUAUGAUAGCUGCUUGCUCGCAACAGGGGUAUAGCGAUGAGGUGUUCUCAAUGUUUGCACGGAUGUUAGAUGAUGGGUUUUCGCCUAACGAGUUUACGGCAUGUAGCGUCUUGAAGGCUUGUGGAGAGAAGAAGGCAUUAAAACUUGGGAAACAAAUACAUGGAGCCAUAAUUAAGAACGUGAUUAAGAAUGAUGUCUUUACUGGGACUUCUUUAGUGGACAUGUAUGCAAAAUGUGGGGAGAUUCUGGACUCUAGAAGAGUAUUUGAUGCAAUGAGUAAAAGAAACACGGUUACAUGGACUUCGAUCAUAGCUGGAUAUUCUAGGAAAGAGCUGGGUGAGGAAGCUAUUAGCCUCUUUCGAACAAUGAAGAGAAGACAUAUAAUUGUGAACAACUUGACCAUUGUGAGCAUCCUAAGGGCUUGUGGCUCCAUAGGAGCUUUAUCAAAGGGGAGGGAACUUCAUGCACAAAUAAUCAAGAAUUCUGUCCAAUCAAAUAUCUAUAUAGGAAGUACAUUGGUAUGGCUGUACUGCAAAUGUGGCGAGUACCAUAUUGCCUCUAAGGUGCUUCAACAAAUGGCACUUAGAGAUGUUGUUUCAUGGACUGCCAUGAUUUCUGGCUGUGCAAAUCUUGGACAUGAGUCUGAAGCUCUUGAGUUCUUGAAGGAAAUGAUGGAUGAAGGUGUAAAGCCUAACUCUUUCACUUAUUCAUCAGCUCUAAAAGCAUGUGCAAAUCUUGAAGAUCUUUCCGCAGGCAGGUUGAUUCACUCCUUUGCAAACAAGAUUCCUGCAUUAUCAAAUGUGUAUGUGGGCAGUGCUUUAAUUCAUAUGUAUGCAAAGUGUGGGUUUGUGUCUGAGGCAUUUCAAGUUUUUGAUAGUAUGCCUGAACACAAUCUAGUUUCUUGGAAGGCUAUGAUCAUGGGUUAUGUGAGGAAUGGGCUCUGCCGAGAGGCUUUGAAGCUCUUGUACCGGAUGGAAGCAGAAGGAAUCAAAGUGGAUGAUUACAUCCAUGCAACAGUUCUUUGUGCAUGUGGAGAUGUUGAACGGGAUAUGGAGUCUUUGCAUGAGUAUCAGUUGUAAGUCCCGCUGAUCUUUUGAUGAAUCAGGAUUUUCUCACCUCUUUGCAUUUUAUAUGAAACGCAUGUAAAGCAACAUAGCUGUGGCCCAAUACAAUGAAAAUCCAGCAUGAAUAGGGUAAAACAUACCCACGAGUUCCACUGACUUUUGGCAUAUUGGCUAUUGUCGUGCUUGCUUUUGGCAUAGUGGCUGUUGUCUAGCAAGCAUGAGAUCGAAGCAGUAACAAAUGUCAUACAGAAAAGCUGAACAAUACUAUUGAGGAUUUGGAGGACGACUGUUGGCAGAUGAGACUCGCGACCCCCAUUCCAGCAGCUCUUUGCUCGUAUCAUCCUUGUGCACAAUAACUUCAAUGAAACAUAAGGAAUCCUUUUCUGAUCCUGUUGCAGUUGCUAUUGCUUUUUCCAGUUCAUCCUGUGUACGUACCUGUAUUUUGCAGCUAAAUCAUUCAUUCUACUCCAUUACCAACUCAGAGAUCAGAACACACUCUUAUUUAAUGAAAUGCGCAAAACAUAUAUGACAAAGGAUCUUUAGGAA